rnacentral:rRNA from 1 species
AACGAACGCUGGCGGCAUGCCUAACACAUGCAAGUCGAACGGGAUCCGGACUUCGGUUCGGUGAGAGUGGCGGACGGGUGAGUAACGCGUGGGAACCUGCCCAGUGGUGGGGGAUAACUGCGGGAAAGUGCAGCUAAUACCGCAUGAGCCCGAGAGGGGAAAGAUUUAUCGCCAUUGGGGGGGCCCGAGUUAGAUUAGGUAGUUGGUGAGGUAAUGGCUCACCAAGCCGACGAUCGAUAGCUGGUCUGAGAGGAUGAUCAGCCACACUGGGACUGAGAUACGGCCCAGACUCCUACAGGAGGCAGCAGUGGGGAAUAUUGGACAAUGGGGGCAACCCUGAUCCAGCAAUGCCGCGUGGGUGAUGAAGGCCUUCGGGUUGUAAAGCUCUUUUGCCAGGGACGAUGAUGACGGUACCUGGAUAAUAAGCCCCGGCUAACUUCGUGCCAGCCGCCGCAGUAAUAC